UACGGAGGGUGCAAGCGUUAUCCGGAUUCACUGGGUUUAAAGGGUGCGUAGGUGGGUUGGUAAGUCAGUGGGGAAAUCUCCGGGCUUAACCCGGAAACUGCCAUUGAUACUAUUAGUCUUGAAUACCGUGGAGGUCAGCGGAAUAUGUCAUGUAGCGGUGAAAUGCUUAGAUAUGACAUAGAACACCAAUUGCGAAGGCAGCUGGCUACACGAGCAUUGACACUCAGGCACGAAAGCGUGGGGAUCAAACAGG
rnacentral:rRNA from 1 species